AAACCGACACAGGUGGUCAGGUAGAGAAUACCAAGGCGCUUGAGAGAACUCGGGUGAAGGAACUAGGCAAAAUGGUGCCGUAACUUCGGGAGAAGGCACGCUGAUAUGUAGGUGAAGCGACUUGCUCGUGGAGCUGAAAUCAGUCGAAGAUACCAGCUGGCUGCAACUGUUUAUUAAAAACACAGCACUGUGCAAACACGAAAGUGGACGUAUACGGUGUGACGCCUGCCCGGUGCCGGAAGGUUAAUUGAUGGGGUUAGCGGUAACGCGAAGCUCUUGAUCGAAGCCCCGGUAAACGGCGGCCGUAACUAUAACGGUCCUAAGGUAGCGAAAUUCCUUGUCGGGUAAGUUCCGACCUGCACGAAUGGCGUAAUGAUGGCCAGGCUGUCUCCACCCGAGACUCAGUGAAAUUGAACUCGCUGUGAAGAUGCAGUGUACCCGCGGCAAGACGGAAAGACCCCGUGAACCUUUACUAUAGCUUGACACUGAACAUUGAGCCUUGAUGUGUAGGAUAGGUGGGAGGCUUUGAAGUGUGGACGCCAGUCUGCAUGGAGCCGACCUUGAAAUACCACCCUUUAAUGUUUGAUGUUCUAACGUUGGCCCGUAAUCCGGGUUGCGGACAGUGUCUGGUGGGUAGUUUGACUGGGGCGGUCUCCUCCUAAAGAGUAACGGAGGAGCACGAAGGUUGGCUAAUCCUGGUCGGACAUCAGGAGGUUAGUGCAAUGGCAUAAGCCAGCUUGACUGCGAGCGUGACGGCGCGAGCAGGUGCGAAAGCAGGUCAUAGUGAUCCGGUGGUUCUGAAUGGAAGGGCCAUCGCUCAACGGAUAAAAGGUACUCCGGGGAUAACAGGCUGAUACCGCCCAAGAGUUCAUAUCGACGGCGGUGUUUGGCACCUCGAUGUCGGCUCAUCACAUCCUGGGGCUGAAGUAGGUCCCAAGGGUAUGGCUGUUCGCCAUUUAAAGUGGUACGCGAGCUGGGUUUAGAACGUCGUGAGACAGUUCGGUCCCUAUCUGCCGUGGGCGCUGGAGAACUGAGGGGGGCUGCUCCUAGUACGAGAGGACCGGAGUGGACGCAUCACUGGUGUUCGGGUUGUCAUGCCAAUGGCACUGCCCGGUAGCUAAAUGCGGAAGAGAUAAGUGCUGAAAGCAUCUAAGCACGAAACUUGCCCCGAGAUGAGUUCUCCCUGACUCCUUGAGAGUCCUGAAGGAACGUUGAAGACGACGACGUUGAUAGGCCGGGUGUGUAAGCGCAGCGAUGCGUUGAGCUAACCGGUACUAAUGAACCGUGAGGCUUAACCUU
rnacentral:rRNA from 1 species